GGGGGGGCCUACAUUUUCCUGGAUUAUCUUGUGAUCUUGGGGCAAAAAGUGACCUUCCUCCAUUUCUCCACAUUUUGUUUGGAUGCCAAUCUGCAACCAGCACCUGUGUUUGCCACCACAAGGCCUGAUGCUGCCUUUCACCAUCAUCUGGGGAGGCCUGUGAAGCAGUUACCACCUCUCAGCUGGGUUUCAGUAAUGACCUGUAAGAGGGUAUAAAUGAAGUCAUGUGGAUCACCUUGCCUCUUUCAGUGAGCAUAGUGCAGGCAGUUACUGAGCACCUGCUUUGUGGGAGAAAGUUAUGCUUGCUCUUAGUCUGUGUUCCCCAUCAUUCAGAAGUCACAACAAGCACAAACUUCAGCGGAAGUCAUUUGAGCCUUGCUCUAAGCGUGCUGACUGUGAACAGCAGUGAAAGAAAGAAACCUUUGGAAAAAGACUUUCGGGAAAGUAUUUAUCUUAUAAGAACUGCAAUUUUGCUGUCCUUGGAGAUCAGAAAGAAACAUGCAUGGUAAACUACAAAGGAAGAUGAAAAGACUUGUUUGGUCUUCCAGAGGUUGGACUCACAGCUUGAGGUAGUAGAAAUGUCCAGACAACAAUUAAAAGGUUUUGUCAGGAGAUUAUGCUGGAGGGGAGGACUUCGUAGAAACAUAAUAAAUAUUUUUGUAAGGGAAAAUUGAUGUGGGCA
rnacentral:lncRNA from 1 species